rnacentral:tRNA from 1 species
ACUCCUGUAGCUUAACAACAAAGCACUGGCCUUGUAAGACAGAAACGGAAGAUAGAUGCUCCCCAAGAGUA